ACUCCUACGGGAGGCAGCAGUGGGAAUUUUGGACAAUGGGCGAAAGCCUGAUCCAGCAAUGCCGCGUGUGCGAAGAAGGCCUUCGGGUUGUAAAGCACUUUUGUUAGGGAAGAAAUCUUCCGGGCCAAUACCCGUCGGUGAUGACGGUACCUUUCGAAUAAGCACCGGCUAACUACGUGCCAGCAGCCGCGGUAAUACGUAGGGUGCAAGCGUUAAUCGGAAUUACUGGGCGUAAAGCGCAUGCAGGUGGUUUGUUAAGUCAGAUGUGAAAGCCCGGGGCUCAACCUCGGAAUAGCAUUUGAAACUGGCAGACUAGAGUACUGUAGAGGGGUGGAGAAAUUUCAGGUGUAGCGGUGAAAUGCGUAGAGAUCUGAAGGAAUACCGGUGGCGAAGGCGGCCCCUCGGACAGAUACUGACACUCAGAUGCGAAAGCGUGGGGAGCAAACAGGAUUAGAUACCCCGUAGGCUCUGCU
rnacentral:rRNA from 1 species